rnacentral:misc_RNA from 1 species
GAAAUGCGAUAAGUAGUGUGAAUUGCAGAAUUCAGUGAAUCAUCGAAUCUUUGAACGCACAUUGCGCCCCUUGGUAUUCCGAGGGGCAUGCCUGUUCGAGCGUCAUUUGUACCUCAAGCUUUGCUUGGUGUUGGGUGUUUGUCUGCUCUUGUAGCUAGACUCGCCUUAAAUUUAUUGGCAGCUGGAGCGUUGGCUUUGGAGCGCAGCACAUUUUGCGUUUCUGGUUGAUACUUUGGCGUCCAUCAAGAUAUAUCACUUUUGACCUCGGAUCAGGUAGGGAUACCCGCUGAACUUAA